rnacentral:rRNA from 1 species
UCCCGUCAGGAGCGCUAUCGGAUCUGAGAAGAGCUUAUGCAGGCAUGAGUAGCGAUAAACAGGAUGAGAAAUCCUGUCGCCGUAAGCCCAAGGUUUCCUGUGAAGGAUAAUCCUCCCAUGGGUUAGUCGGUCCCUAAGCUGAGGCCGAAAGGCGUAAGUGAUGGUAAGCAGGUUAAUAUUCCUGCACCACUAGGGAUGGCGUUGAAGCAAGCAGGGACGGAGAAGGGUAUGCCGAGCCAGCGAAUGGUUGUGCUGGUUCAAGCCAGUAGGCGGUGUUCGUAGGACCCGACAGGGACAAACGCGAGCACACUACGCCGAGAGGUGAUGAGGUGAAGCUCCGGCUUCGGAACUCGGUGAUCCCAUGCUUCCAAGAAAAGCUGCGUGCAGAGCCACUCUAGUGACCGUACUGCAAACCGACUCAGGUGGGCGGGGUGAAUAUCCCAAGGCGCGUGAGAGAACACUGGCCAAGGAACUCGGCAAAAUGACACCGUAACUUCGGGAGAAGGUGUGCCCGUUGUCGUGCGAGCUAUACGCUCUUAGCGUCGGCGGGUUGCAGAGAAUUGAGGGUAGCGACUGUUUACUAAAAACACAGGACUGUGCGAACUCGUAAGAGGACGUAUACGGUCUGACGCCUGCCCGGUGCUGGAAGGUUAAGGGGAGUUGUCAGCGCAAGCGAAGCAACGAACCGAAGCCCCAGUAAACGGCGGCCGUAACAAUAACGGUCCUAAGGUAGCGAAAUUCCUUGUCGGGUAAGUUCCGACCUGCACGAAUGGCGUAACGACUUCCCUACUGUCUCGGUCAGUGACUCAGCGAAAUUGUAUUGGGGGUGAAGAUACCCUCUACCCGCGGCAAGACGGAAAGACCCCAUGAACCUUCACUGUAAGUUGGCAGUGAAGUUCGGGUCAGCCUGCGUAGGAUAGGUGGAGGCUUUGAUCCUGGGAUUCCGGUCUCAGGGGAGCCAACCUUGAAAUACCACCCUGGCUGUUCUGGACUUCUAACCUAAACCCAUUAUCUGGGUUGGGGACACUGCCUGCUGGGCAGUUUGACUGGGGCGGUCGCCUCCAAAAGAGUAACGGAGGCGCGCGAAGGUUCCCUCAGGCUGAAUGGAAACCAGCCGUAGAGUGUAAAGGCACAAGGGAGCUUGACUGUGAGACCGACAGGUCGAACAGGUGCGAAAGCAGGUCUUAGUGAUCCGGUGGCACUGUGUGGAAGGGCCAUCGCUCAACGGAUAAAAGGUACUCUGGGGAUAACAGGCUGAUCGCGCCUGAGAGUCCAUAUCGGCGGCGCGGUUUGGCACCUCGAUGUCGGCUCAUCGCAUCCUGGGGCUGGAGCAGGUCCCAAGGGUUUGGCUGUUCGCUAAAA